ACGGGAAGAGCCCAAACCAACAAGCUUGCUUGUUGGGGUUGUAGGACACUCUAUACGGAGUUACAAAGGACGACAUUAGACGAAUCAUCUGGAAAGAUGAAUCAAAGAAGGUAAUAAUCCUGUAGUCGAAAAUGUUGUCUCUCUUGAGUGGAUCCUGAGUACGACGGAGCACGUGAAAUUCCGUCGGAAUCUGGGAGGACCAUCUCCUAAGGCUAAAUACUCUCUAGUGACCGAUAGUGAACCAGUACCGUGAGGGAAAGGUGAAAAGCACCCCGGAAGGGGAGUGAAAUAGAACCUGAAACCGUGUGCUUACAAGUAGUCAGAGCCCGUUAAUGGGUGAUGGCGUGCCUUUUGUAGAAUGAACCGGCGAGUUACGAUUUGAUGCAAGGUUAAGCAGUAAAUGUGGAGCCGUAGCGAAAGCGAGUCUGAAUAGGGCGUUUAGUAUUUGGUCGUAGACCCGAAACCAGGUGAUCUACCCUUGGUCAGGUUGAAGUUCAGGUAACACUGAAUGGAGGACCGAACCGACUUACGUUGAAAAGUGAGCGGAUGAACUGAGGGUAGCGGAGAAAUUCCAAUCGAACCUGGAGAUAGCUGGUUCUCUCCGAAAUAGCUUUAGGGCUAGCCUCAAGUGAUGAUUAUUGGAGGUAGAGCACUGUUUGGACGAGGGGCCCCUCUCGGGUUACCGAAUUCAGACAAACUCCGAAUGCCAAUUAAUUUAACUUGGGAGUCAGAACAUGGGUGAUAAGGUCCGUGUUCGAAAGGGAAACAGCCCAGACCACCAGCUAAGGUCCCAAAAUAUAUGUUAAGUGGAAAAGGAUGUGGCGUUGCCCAGACAACUAGGAUGUUGGCUUAGAAGCAGCCAUCAUUUAAAGAGUGCGUAAUAGCUCACUAGUCGAGUGACACUGCGCCGAAAAUGUACCGGGGCUAAACAUAUUACCGAAGCUGUGGAUUGUCCUUUGGACAAUGGUAGGAGAGCGUUCUAAGGGCGUUGAAGCAUGAUCGUAAGGACAUGUGGAGCGCUUAGAAGUGAGAAUGCCGGUGUGAGUAGCGAAAGACGGGUGAGAAUCCCGUCCACCGAUUGACUAAGGUUUCCAGAGGAAGGCUCGUCCGCUCUGGGUUAGUCGGGUCCUAAGCUGAGGCCGACAGGCGUAGGCGAUGGAUAACAGGUUGAUAUUCCUGUACCACCUAUAAUCGUUUUAAUCGAUGGGGGGACGCAGUAGGAUAGGCGAAGCGUGCGAUUGGAUUGCACGUCUAAGCAGUAAGGCUGAGUAUUAGGCAAAUCCGGUACUCGUUAAGGCUGAGCUGUGAUGGGGAGAAGACAUUGUGUCUUCGAGUCGUUGAUUUCACACUGCCGAGAAAAGCCUCUAGAUAGAAAAUAGGUGCCCGUACCGCAAACCGACACAGGUAGUCAAGAUGAGAAUUCUAAGGUGAGCGAGCGAACUCUCGUUAAGGAACUCGGCAAAAUGACCCCGUAACUUCGGGAGAAGGGGUGCUCUUUAGGGUUAACGCCCAGAAGAGCCGCAGUGAAUAGGCCCAAGCGACUGUUUAUCAAAAACACAGGUCUCUGCUAAACCGUAAGGUGAUGUAUAGGGGCUGACGCCUGCCCGGUGCUGGAAGGUUAAGAGGAGUGGUUAGCUUCUGCGAAGCUACGAAUCGAAGCCCCAGUAAACGGCGGCCGUAACUAUAACGGUCCUAAGGUAGCGAAAUUCCUUGUCGGGUAAGUUCCGACCCGCACGAAAGGCGUAACGAUUUGGGCACUGUCUCAACGAGAGACUCGGUGAAAUCAUAGUACCUGUGAAGAUGCAGGUUACCCGCGACAGGACGGAAAGACCCCGUGGAGCUUUACUGUAGCCUGAUAUUGAAAUUCGGCACAGCUUGUACAGGAUAGGUAGGAGCCUUUGAAACGUGAGCGCUAGCUUACGUGGAGGCGCUGGUGGG
rnacentral:rRNA from 1 species